ACGGUAACAGGGGAGCUUGCUCCCGCUGACGAGUGGCGAACGGGUGAGUAAUGCAUCGGAACGUGCCGAAUAGUGGGGGAUAACGCACCGAAAGGUGUGCUAAUACCGCAUACGCCCUGAGGGGGAAAGUGGGGGACCGCAAGGCCUCACGCUAAUCGAGCGGCCGAUGUCGGAUUAGCUAGUUGGUGGGGUAAAGGCUCACCAAGGCGACGAUCCGUAGCGGGUCUGAGAGGAUGAUCCGCCACACUGGGACUGAGACACGGCCCAGACUCCUACGGGAGGCAGCAGUGGGGAAUUUUGGACAAUGGGGGAAACCCUGAUCCAGCCAUGCCGCGUGUCUGAAGAAGGCCUUCGGGUUGUAAAGGACUUUUGUCCGGGAGGAAACCCUGAUCGUUAAUAGCGGUCGGGACUGACAGUACCGGAAGAAUAAGCACCGGCUAACUACGUGCCAGCAGCCGCGGUAAUACGUAGGGUGCAAGCGUUAAUCGGAAUUACUGGGCGUAAAGCGUGCGCAGGCGGUGAGAUAAGUCAGCUGUGAAAGCCCCGGGCUCAACCUGGGAACUGCGGCCGAAACUGUCUCGCUAGAGUACGUCAGAGGGGGGUGGAAUUCCACGUGUAGCAGUGAAAUGCGUAGAGAUGUGGAGGAACAC
rnacentral:rRNA from 1 species